GACGUAGGGGGCGAGCGUUGUCCGGAUUUAUUGGGCGUAAAGCGCGUGUAGGCGGCCAGAUAGGUCUGCCGUGAAAACUCGAGGCUCAACCUCGAGCUGUCGGCGGAAACCAUCUGGCUAGAGUCCGGAAGAGGAGAGUGGAAUUCCUGGUGUAGCGGUGAAAUGCGCAGAUAUCAGGAAGAACACCUAUGGCGAAGGCAGCUCUCUGGGACGGUACUGACGCUGAGACGCGAAAGCGUGGGGAGCGAACAGG
rnacentral:rRNA from 1 species